CAAGUUGACGAUUGGCUUUGGGACAUAUUUUUCAACACUUUAUUGUGACAAUACUAGCACAGUUGCUCAAGCUAAGGAAUCAAGGUCUCAUCAUAAAUCUAAACACAUCCUAAGGUGGCUCUAUCUCAUUCGAAAGAUAGUCAAAAGAUACGAUGCGAUUGUUGAGUGAGUUGACAUCAAGAACAAUAUAGCAAAUCCAUUCACUAAGGCCUUAUCAUUGCAGCAGUUUGACCCCACC
rnacentral:lncRNA from 1 species